rnacentral:rRNA from 1 species
UACGUAGGUGUCGAGCGUUGUCCGGAUUUAUUGGGCGUAAAGAGCCCGCAGGCGGCUUGUCUAGUCCGAGGUGAAAUCUCCCGGCUCAACUGGGAGGGUGCCUCGGAAACUGGCAGGCUUAGGCAGGGAGAGGGAUGUGGAAUUCCGGGUGGAGCGGUGAAAUGCGUAGAGAUCCGGAGGAACACCGACGGCGUAGGCAGCGCCCUAGACGAGACCUGACGCUCAGGCACGAAAGCGCGGGGAGCGAACAGG